CCGGGGCGCUUGUAUAGUUGACACCUGCAGCACGGGCGGCCGCCGGGGCUUCCCGACACAAGGCGCUGGUACCUGAGCCCUUGACUGGUAAUGCACCAUAAACGGCUCCUUUCAGGCCCUUUCAGAGAGGGAGCGCGGAGGUCACCCCGUCUACAAACCCCUCUGUGUCCGCCGCGUCUCCCGGGCCCCGGGUGCCGGGCCUCCAGCCGCAGAGCACGCCGGCCCGUGGGAAUCCCAACACUUGUGCUCGGCUCGGCCGGCGGGGCGGGGCGGGGGGGGGGGGGAGACCACCCGGCCCUCCCCCAGCCCGGCCCCCCGCCCGCCGGGGCUCGUUCACAGAGCGCAGCGAGUGGAACGAAUGGGUGCCGGCGUCCUCGGACGCCCGCGGAAAUCCAAUGAUAAAGCGGGACGGGCCCGCCCCCGCCCCCGCCCCCGCCGGGGCCGACGCCCACUGCGCCCUGCAAGUUCUGGGCGUGAGUCCCCGAGUGAGGAGGAGGAGAGCCCACAAGAGCCAGGUGCGCUGGCCUUGGUGCUGAAGGUAAAGGCCCCCGCCUUUGGAGGCGACAUCUCUCAAGUCGGUCCCAAAAGAAAUUCGACCACAUUCUCUCCAUACCUCCUUCCCUUCCCCGAGGGUGUGCUUGUUUUGCGUGUCUGGAUGUGUGUAAAAUGGGAAUAACCUGAAAGCCACUAGCACUAGAACAUAAAAACGCCCACGAAAUUUUAGUUAAUUGAGUGAAUACUUGGAUAUCUUUCUCUUAAUCCCUUCUGUAGCCUACCUAUUAAAUUGAGUGUGAGAAAAUUUUACUAAAUAAUGGCCUUAGAAUGUCUUAAAACUACAUGAUUUUUUCCCCCAGGUUUCUUUCCAUCGUUUGAUUUAAACAUUAUUGUGGGCAGGUUUGGACAGAGAGCAAAAUUUAUCAAAGCCAAGAGCUAUUCACCCAUUCUACUCCCUUGAUAGUAUCAGGUUCUGUGCUAUCUCUGGGAUCAUAAAAAGAUGAUUCCACCUCAGAAAAAGAAACGAUGGCUGAGGCAGAGUGAUCUUAGAAAGGUGCAUCUGGUUUUAAUUAAUUCUGUUCUGAGGUCUCUGAGGAAAGUCAGUUGGUGCUGGGUUAAAUGGACGAAGAAGGCUUCAUGCAUGUCAUUUGUGGGGAACAUUUAUCUUGGGCUAAAACAUGGCCAAAAGACCACGGAUUAAUAUUUCUGUUCACUUUUCUGUCACAACAUCCUAUUUAAUAGUUAAAAAUCCAUUUCUAAAAAAAAAAAAAACAAAAAAAAAAAACAAAAAAAAUCCAUUUCUACGCCCUGCUUGCUGAAAAUAGAAGUCAAGAAACAUGUGCAAAGAUGUACACUUUGACAAGUUAAGAAAACAACAUGAAUAUUUGCAUUAAAAGUAGAAUAAGAUAUACUGGGACUAAGUUCUGUAUACUUGCAAAAAGAUUGUCUAAAAUUUUGGCUCUAAACUUCCCAAAAGUUAGUGUGAAGAGGAAACACAAUAAAUGUCAUGAUUCACAGUGUGUAAAAUACAAAUAAACUGCUUUCUCACAGAAAAAGCACCUAUUUAUGGUAGUGACACCUGAGAGAAAUUUCUUCCAUGUGUCCCCAUAAAAUGAUGUCCUCAACAAUAACCCUAAAGUAAAUGCAUUUGAGUUAUGUGGGCUGGCUCCUAUUUCUGUUACUCAGUAUAGCCUUACAAUAUUUCCUUUGUCUGAGGAAGAAUAAAAUCGCUGAGUAAAGGGGGCACCUGGGUGGCUUAGUGGUUGAGCGUCUGCCUUUGGCUCAGGUCAUGAUCCUGGGGUCCUGGAGUGGAGUCUGGCAUCAGGCUCCCCGCAGGGAAACUGCUUCUCCUUCUGUGUAUGUCUCUGCCUCUCUCUGUGUGUCUCUCAUGAAUAAAUUAAUAAAAUCUUUUUUAAAAAACCUGCUGAGAAAAGGAUCUGGUAAAUGCCAUGCUUACCCACUCUCGGUGUGAUGUUGGAAUCUGAGUGUUGAGGGCAAGCAUCCUGGGAGUCCUUACACUACAGUUGUUACAGGUUCUUGAAGAUUUGCAAAACUACUCUGGGUACUCAGCCUGGUACCUAAGGUAUAGUCAAUGACAGGGCUGCCUCUCCUUUGUCACUUGUGCUGAGGCCAUCAAAGCCACCUCUGGGCCAGUGCUCCUGGUUUAGUAUCCAUAAAAAUCAUAUGUUUCAAUGUCACAUUCCUAGGAUCCAGAGAUUUUUUUUUCUUUAUUUUAUGAUAGUCACACACAGAGAGAGAGAGAGAGGCAGAGACACAGGCAGAGGGAGAAGCAGGCCCCAUGCACCGGGAGCCCGACGUGGGAUUUGAUCCCGGGUCUCCAGGAUCGCGCCCUGGGCCAAAGGCAGGCGCCAAACCGCUGCACCACCCAGGGAUCCCAGGAUCCAGAGAUUUUGAUGCAGUAUUUUUUCAGACCCACUGAAAAAAAUAUAUGUAUAGUACAAAUAUGUAUACUGAAAUUCAUAUAUUUACAGUCACCCCAGGUAUGCAGUGAGAUCACCAAAAUUGUUUUCCUUUCUUCUUGAAUUGAGCUAAACAGAGCUUGACUGUAUGAUUGAGUCCUGACCAAUAGAAUGUGAAGCAAAAGUGAUAUAGAUGACUUCUAGCAUUGGUCCCUAAAACCACUCUUGAAUUCUCAACAUUGAUUCUUUCUCCUCUCAUUAUCUGUCAGCUGGAUACAACGAAUGUAGCAGAAGACUCUGAGACCCUAGAUGAUAGUAGAGACAUUAGGUGGAGAGAAUCUGUGCCCCUGGAUGGGAAGACCACCUUUUACAGCCCAUUAAUGAACUACGAAAUGAGCAAUAACUGCAAUCUUAUGCUGGUAAGCUACUGAGACUUUGGGGCUGUUUAUUACAGCAUCUAGCUUUACUCACCCUAAUAUACAGGUGAUUCUAAAAUGGUCCAAUAACCACAUUUGGAGAGACACUACCCUAUGCAAAACUAUGACAAAGCAAAUGAUUCAGCCUUCUGGUGACAAUUCCUUGGCUUACAAGAAUGACUCAACUGGUAAGACUUUCAGGUCUUCCUGGAGGAAGGGCCUUCUUAUUACAGGACCCCUUUGGGGGAAGGACCUCUCUAAUUACAUCCUGUAAAUGUUGCCACCUCAUAAAUUAUACUUGGAAGUUAAGGUUUUUGUGGGUUCUUUUCCUGAAAAUGUCCCUUCUCUUUCUCUCUUGAUCUUGUCACCAUUUGGGAGGUUGUGAGAAGUGGGUCUCAGGAAAAAAAGGAAGGAAGAGCACUCAUGUCUGUAGACAGUUUACUAUGUGGUGGACACUAUACUUAAUACUUUGCAUGCAUUAUCUUAUUUAUGCUCACAUAUAUUCCUCCAAAAUAGGCAUCAGUAUUCUCAUUUCACAAUGAAGACUCUAAAAACUUUGUCAGAAUUCUUGCUGUAAGCAUUUAGAGACUGACUGGUGAGCUUAUAGCACUGCUUCUCUAAACGAUCCUACUAGGUGACCUAAGUACACCUGAACUAUGCAUCUCUGUGGAAAGAGAGAGAAAGGAAUGUGAGCUCAAUUUUCAUGGUACCGCUGGAACUGAAGUGCAGUUUGGAGAGAGCAGUAGACCUGUUGAUCUAGUUCUGGGAGGAGUUAUUCUAAAUGAACUUAGGAUGAGCCUGUUUGGACUUGAUAAAUUCCUUGAACUCUGGCUCUGGAAAAGGGACAUGCUUCACAUCUUAGAAAGGUACUACUUUUGGCUCCAGAAACUCCAUUUCUAGGGAUCAAUUCUCAGGAAAUAAUUUGAAAUACGUAAAAGACUAUACACAGAAAAUUCUAUCAUGACACCAUUGAUAAGUAGAAAGAAGAGGAAGCCACCUAAAUGCUGUUCAAGUUGAUAUGUCAUUUAAUAAUGCAUCAUUAAAUAAAUACAUCAUCAUUAAAUAAUCAUUUAGAAGGUUUGCAAUUAUUUUUAUCUUUUUAUUUUUAUUUAUUUAUGAUAGUCACACACACACACAGAGAGAGAGAGAGAGAGAGAGAGAGAGGCAGAGACACAGGCAGAGGGAGAAGCAGGCUCCAUGCACCAGGAGCCCAACGUGGGAUUCGAUCCUGGGUCUCCAGGAUCACGCCCUGGAUCAAAGGCAGGCGCUAAACCGUUGCGCCACCCAGGGAUCCCUGCAAUUACUUUUAAAAUAGAGGUGCCUGGGUGGCUCAGUUGGUUAAGUAUCUGCUUUUGGCUCAAGUCAUGAUCCUGGGGUUCUGAGAUAGAACCCCUCAUUGGGUUCCCUGCUCAGAGGGAAGUCUGCUUCUACCUCUCCCUCUGCCUCUCACCCUCUGCCCUUCACCCCUGUUCAUUCUCUUCCUCACUCUCUCUCUCUCAAAUAAAUAAAUGAAAUCUUUAGAAAAUGCUUAGAGGCAAUGUUAAAUGAAAAACAUUAAAAUAUAGAUUUGAAGCAGUAUGACCAUCUACAAGGAGAAAUAUAAACAUUAAAAAGUAG
rnacentral:lncRNA from 1 species